rnacentral:lncRNA from 1 species
GAUUGCCCCGAUUUGGUGAUUCUUGAUUGACGGGGAGACUUCACACAUUUUUUCCUUUUUUUUUCGAUGUUUUUGUUUUCUUUUUUCCUUUUUUUUUCUGAGUGAUUGUGUCAUUCACCAUAUCAUUUCGUUUCAGGGUUAAAUUCGUGAGAAAGAUUAGGACAAACAGUCUUCAGUCAGCGUGGACUUUUAUUGGCUUGUACCGUGGCUAAAGGUCAAAGGGUUUUGAAAGAAAUGGAUAAUGAAGGCCCAAAUAAGUGUUUGGCAGUUAAAUUGUUUCAACAAGAAUCAUUGGCAAGGUGUCGAGUCAACUAUCCCUAGAGAUUUGAAACUUCGGGCAUCCUUU